rnacentral:rRNA from 1 species
GGUCCUACGGGGGGCAGCAGUGGGGAAUAUUGCGCAAUGGGGGCAACCCUGACGCAGCAACGCCGCGUGCAGGAAGAAGGUCUUCGGAUCGUAAACCUCUGUCAGCAGGGAAGAACGGUCACUGUGCUAAUCAGCAGUGAAUUGACGGUACCUGCAAAGGAAGCACCGGCUAACUCCGUGCCAGCAGCCGCGGUAAUACGGAGGGUGCGAGCGUUAAUCGGAAUUACUGGGCGUAAAGCGCUCGUAGGCGGUAUGUCAAGUCAAGGGUGAAAUCCCCGCGCUCAACGUGGGAACUGCCUUUGAAA